ensembl:lincRNA
UCAUUCCCCUCCUUAUCCCUCCUCUUCUCUCCCCUUCCCUCCCCGCCCUUCCCCUCUGCCGCAGCCCAGCUCCUAGCGCGUCAGCGUGGGCUUCCCGGAGCGAGUCGCUAGGUAACAGGGCUAGCUCCGCAGACCCGGGCCAGGGAAGCCCGCGCGCGUCGUCAGCAUCUGCGCCGAGGGGCGGGGAACGCACUGACACUCCCCUAUCGGAGCCUGCAGACCCUUCAGCUGGUUCUCAGUCCCCUCCCUGGAUGCCUUAAGGGUGGCUAUUGCCACCGCGGAGUUGCCCCUCCCCUGCGGGGACCCCGACGUCGCCGCCCCCUUCUCCUCCCACGCUGGUCCGCACCACUCUCCGCACCGCCAGCCACCCUCCGAGAUCUUCCCGCCGAGCCCAGGCGUGGGGCAUGAGGAGCCCCUGGGUGUCGCCUGCAGACAACCCAGCCUCGCGCACACCUCGCCAGUCGCUGACAGGGACAUGAACAGCAUGAUUGGGUUCCGGUGUCCGGCGGCCAGCCUCAGCCGGAGGCGGCCAGUGGGUCUGCGCUGUUUGGGAGAAUGAGGCAGGAACCCACGGCAACCUCUCUCUCCUCCUUCUCCUCGCCUUCCUCUGGCUCCCGCUCCCCGGACCCGGGCCGGGCUGUGGCUCUGCUGCGUGCCCUGCGCGCCCCCCACCUGCCUCCGGAUGCUCUUCUCGGUUAGCCUGGAGAGGAAGAUAAAGACAUUUGCAACCAAGAUGGUAAUCACGAGUGGAAACGAUGAAGACCGGGGAGGCCAAGAGAAAGAGAGCAAAGAGGAGAGCGUGUUGGCCAUGCUGGGCAUCAUCGGGACCAUCCUGAACCUGAUCGUUAUCAUCUUUGUAUACAUAUAUACCACUCUAUGAAAGGCCCCAUUCAGACCUCGGUGGCCUCAGGAUGGCCACGAGACAAGGGUCCUGUGCAUCCGUCUAUCAGCGACCACACACUGCGGGGGGACCAGCAGGUUUGAAGACCACACAAUGCUCCAUCAAUGCACCUUCGAACUUUCUGACGGGUCACCUGAUGGACCCGUCCUUCUGUGAGGAGCAGACACUCUGAAGCACAAUGAAUCCAGUGGGACUCCUUCAGGCCACAAGGAACUCCCACAGGGGACCCAGCGGGAUGCUGGAAAGGCCAGCCUUCUGCACCGGCGGUGAGCACGAGGGUGAGGAAGUGCUUCACCCUGGAGUGCUGACCACAUCUCACACUGGAAAGAGGAUGCGUGGGGUAGUCGCAGCUCCGCUGACCUCCUCCCAGGACUGGCAAGAUAAAUAAGCUCUAGGUGCGGUUCGUUGACAGGCAUUGCAUUCAUCAAAUGUUUCCAGCUGUUUGAUAUGGGAGAUAACUUAUUUUUCCUUUUUCAUUGGCUUGAUAUGUGUAUCUGUUCAUAUCGAGGUUUAUAAAUCUAUAUUUUUAAUAAAUGUGCUCUAUUUUUUAGCAUGAACCAAAUAUUUGGAGAAGCACUUCUGGACCCAUAGCUCUUCUUGGUUUUAAUCGCUUUUGCUCCAUCAGCUGCAAGACGUCUUUGUCUGUAGUCAUCCGGUUGCCUCAGCUCAUCUCAAGCCUUGUCGUACCUCAGGUUCUUCUUCCUUCCCAUCCCUGCCCCUCCCUUCUCUCCUCUCUCUUUCCCCUGUCUCUCCCUUCCAUCUCUUAAUUCCCCUAUCCUUCCCCAUCUCCCCACCCCCCAUCUCCUCUCUCCCCUCCUCCUCACCUCUUGUCUAGAGGACAUUUUCCCAUAAUACCAGCUGUGGUCUUGGCUGGUGUGUGCUUCAAGAUUGUCGAGCGGCUUUUCAUUGUUCUGUCAGAGAUAUAAACCGAUUGUGGGCAUGCAGACCUUAGAUGCACCCUGUCUUUAUUGAGAAUUAUGCAUGAACAAGGGCUGAGUGGCAGGCCAGCAUCUCCAGUUUUUAAAGGGACUACCAAGGAGGAAGAUGAGCAGCCCUGCCUGCAGGCCACCCUUGGGACAGAGCAGUCACCAGCUCAAGUGCAGUAUUGCUUAUUUGCUCCUGUAACCAUCCAAUUAUCAGAUUCUGAUUUAUUUAUUUAUUUAUUUAUUUAUUUAUUUAUUUAUUUAUUUAUUUUUGUGACCAUGAGAGAUGGAAACGGGGCGAGCUCGAUGUUCAGUGCACCAGCCGUCAUCCCUUCCUUGGUGAGCUGCCUGGGGAGGUGGAGGGUGGGAUCUCUUCAGAAGUCAGUGGGAUAUGAGGGAAGUGAGACCUCCCCGCUGUGAGAAUGCACACACAGUUCCUGCUGUAAAAACACUGCUGGGACGAGUGACCCUUCAAGGGCAUUGGGAGGGGACUUAAUGGUCUCUGUUAAGGAGCCCUGCACAUUUUAAAGCUGUUUUUCCACUCACACAAAGCUCUUUUUUUCUCUGAGGGGAUGGUUGAAUAAAUACAAAUUUGCCCUGCUCUCUGGCUCCGUAACACAGCCCCAACCUGGAUGCAGUGUACAGCUUUAAGGAGAGGGUCCGCAUUCAUUCUGCCAAGGGCAGAAGUGGCAGCAGCCCCCCCUUUGGAUUCAGAUGACACUAAGGGGGGGCAUGUCUCAGCUUGCCCCCUUCCUUAAAUGGCACCAUGAAGGAGUCAUUUCUUGGGCUUCACUAAGGGACCAGUCUCUUUUAUAAAUCAAAUACCCAUGAGCACCUGGCUCUGCCCAGAGAUGUCUCCUCUUCCCCACCAGAAGGACAGAUACCGUGUACACAAGUAACCAGGCUUUCAUAGUUGCUGGUGAGAGGGAGAGUCUUUCUCUCUCACCUGUGUGGUAGAAGGAAGAAGAAAGGACAGCUCGGACCAGGAAUCUUCCCUGAGGUUUCCUGGCACCCAGUGGAGUCAGAUUCUAGCCUCACCUGGCCAGUUCCUUAUCCCAGCGAGGACUUGGAUGCUGUUGUGGGAUGCUGAUGAGGAUAGUGACUGUGGCUGGAAAGCCUGUCGCUUUGCUGAGGAUCAACCCAGCACACACACACACACACACACACACACACACACACCACACCACACCACACCACAACAGGAAACAACCUUAGAACUCCUUGGACACUGGCAGAAUUUGACACAAAUAAAAGACAGUAGAGAGGCUGGUUAGGAAGGUGGGAGGCACCCCGGGGCGAGCACUACCUACCAGGCUGUGUGAUUCUUGACAAACUGUAAUUCUGCACAGUGGACUAAACAAACAAUAAAGGUGCAGUGGGGGAAACUAUUGGUGUCGCCAACUUCCUCGUGAGCCCGUGUGUAAUUGUUUGAUUUAAUAAAACUUGACCGUGGCUGUA